UGUGCACAGCAGAGGAGACGGGAG
rnacentral:piRNA from 1 species